GGAGUAAUAGUUUUAAUGGUUAAAAUACUAGGUUGUCACUCUAGCAGAUGUGGGUUCGAAUCCUGCUUAUUCCG
rnacentral:tRNA from 1 species